AUUGAACGCUGGCGGCAGGCCUAACACAUGCCAGUCGAACGAGCGGCGGACGGGUGAGUAAUGUCUGGGACACUGCCUGAUGGAGGGGGAUAACUACUGGAAACGGUAGCUAAUACCGCAUCCCAUCAGAUGUGCCCAGAUGGGAUUAGCUUGCUGGUGGGGUAACGGCUCACCAAGGCGACGAUCCCUAGCUGGUCUGAGAGGAUGACCAGCAAAACUGGAACGGAGACACGGUCCAGACUCCUACGUGAGGCAGCAGUGGGGAAUAUUGCACAAUGGGCGCAAGCCUGAUGCAGCCAUGCCGCGUGUAUGAAGAAGGCCUUCGGGUUGUAAAGUACUUUCAGCGGGGAGGCGUUACCCGCAGAAGAAGCACCGGCUAACUCCGUGCCAGCAGCCGCGGUAAUUC
rnacentral:rRNA from 1 species